CGGGGCGUAGUGUAACGGCUAGCACGAGUCCUUUGGGAGGAUUUACUCCGGGUUCGAAUCCCGGCGCCCCGA
rfam:Parcubacteria group bacterium CG1_02_44_65 cg1_0.2_scaffold_20430_c, whole genome shotgun sequence.